rnacentral:rRNA from 1 species
GAUCAUGGCUCAGGACGAACGCUGGCGGCGUGCCUAACACAUGCAAGUCGAGCGGGGAAUAUUGAGCAGCUUGCUGCUUGGUAUUUCUAGCGGCGGACGGGUGAGUAACGCGUGAGCAACCUGCCUUUAUCAGGGGGAUAACGCAUCGAAAGAUGUGCUAAUACCGCGUAAGACCACAGCUUCACAUGGAGCAGGGGUCAAAGGAGUAAUCCGGAUAAAGAUGGGCUCGCG